UACGUAGGGGGCGAGCGUUGUCCGAAGUUACUGGGCGUAAAGCGCGCGUAGGCGGGUUGGCAAGUCUGCUGUGAAAGCCCGGGGCUUAACUCCGGAGGGUCGGUGGAUACUGCCAGUCUUGAAGGUGCUAGGGAGAGAUGGAAUUACAGGUGUAGCGGUGAAAUGCGUAGAUAUCUGUAGGAACACCAGUGGCGAAGGCGGUCUCUUGGGGCAUUCUUGACGCUGAGGCGCGAAAGCUGGGGGAGCGAACGGGAUUAGAUACCCCGGUAGUCCCAGCCCUAAACGAUGGAUACUAGGUGUCGGGGGUAUCGACCCCUCCGGUGCCGCCGCUAACGCAGUAAGUAUCCCGCCUGGGGAGUACGGCCGCAAGGUUGAA
rnacentral:rRNA from 1 species